rnacentral:rRNA from 1 species
GACGAACGCUGGCGGCGUGCUUAACACAUGCAAGUCGAACGGAAAGGCCCUGCUUUUGUGGGGUGCUCGAGUGGCGAACGGGUGAGUAACACGUGAGUAACCUGCCCUUGACUUUGGGAUAACUUCAGGAAACUGGGGCUAAUACCGGAUAGGAGCUCCUGCUGCAUGGUGGGGGUUGGAAAGUUUCGGCGGUUGGGGAUGGACUCGCGGCUUAUCAGCUUGUUGGUGGGGUAGUGGCUUACCAAGGCUUUGACGGGUAGCCGGCCUGAGAGGGUGACCGGCCACAUUGGGACUGAGAUACGGCCCAGACUCCUACGGGAGGCAGCAGUGGGGAAUAUUGCACAAUGGGCGGAAGCAUGAUGCAGCAACGCCGCGUGCGGGAUGACGGCCUUCGGGUUGUAAACCUCUUUCGCCUGUGACGAAGCGUGAGUGACGGUAAUGGGUAAAGAAGCACCGGCUAACUACGUG